UCUUAUGGAUAAAUGAAGAAAAUGGCUUCUUUAGAUGAAUUUACUCUGUGGAAGAUGCUGUGAA
rnacentral:pre_miRNA from 1 species